rnacentral:rRNA from 1 species
GACGAACGCUGGCGGCGUGCCUAAUACAUGCAAGUAGAACGCUGAAGGAGGAGCUUGCUCUUCUGGAUGAGUUGCGAACGGGUGAGUAACGCGUAGGUAACCUGCCUGGUAGCGGGGGAUAACUAUUGGAAACGAUAGCUAAUACCGCAUAAGAGUAGAUGUUGCAUGACAUUUGCUUAAAAGGUGCAAUUGCAUCACUACCAGAUGGACCUGCGUUGUAUUAGCUAGUUGGUGGGGUAACGGCUCACCAAGGCGACGAUACAUAGCCGACCUGGGAGGGUGAUCGGCCACACUGGGACUGAGACACGGCCCAGACUCCUACGGGAGGCAGCAGUAGGGAAGCUUCGGUAAUGGACGGAAGUCUGACCGAGCAACGCCGCGUGAGUGAAGAAGGUUUUCGGAUCGUAAAGCUCUGUUGUAAGAGAAGAACGAGUGUGAGAGUGGAAAGUUCACACUGUGACGGUAUCUUACCAGAAAGGGACGGCUAACUACGUG